rnacentral:misc_RNA from 1 species
UUUCCGUAGGUGAACCUGCGGAAGGAUCAUUACUGAGUGAGGGCCCUCUGGGUCCAACCUCCCACCCGUGUUUAUUGUACCUUGUUGCUUCGGGGCGCCCGCCCCACGGCCGCCGGGGGGCUUCUGCCCCCGGGUCCGCGCGCACCGGAGAAACCAUUGAACUCUGUCUGAAGAUUGCAGUCUGAGCAUAAACUAAAUAAGUUAAAACUUUCAACAACGGAUCUCUUGGUUCCG